UACGUAGGGGGCUAGCGUUGUCCGGAAUCAUUGGGCGUAAAGCGCGUGUAGGCGGUCCGGUAAGUCCGCUGUGAAAGUCGGGGGCUCAACCCUCGAAUGCUGGUGGAUACUGUCGGGCUAGAGUGCGGAAGAGGCGAGUGGAAUUCCUGGUGUAGCGGUGAAAUGCGCAGAUAUCAGGAGGAACACCAAUUGCGAAGGCAGCUCGCUGGGACGUAACUGACGCUGAGACGCGAAAGCGUGGGGAGCAAACAGG
rnacentral:rRNA from 1 species